rnacentral:lncRNA from 1 species
UCGGGGGUGGGUUUUGUUAACCACUAUCACUGCCCGAAUUUCUCUGUGCUCACCAUUUGCACCCCACAGAACCUUACCUGCUAUCCAACGCCGCGGCCUCCGCGCUCUGCGAGCUCCAGUCUCCGGUCUAGUCGGGGGUGGGUUUUGUUAACCACUAUCACUGCCCGAAUUUCUCUGUGCUCACCAUUUGCACCCCACAGAACCUUACCUGCUAUCCAACGCCGCGGCCUCCGCGCUCUGCGAGCUCCAGUCUCCGGUUCUCCCCUGAGCCCAGUCAAGCCUCCGCCUCGCCAGCCUGCUGGUCGUUCCAGCCACAGAGGUCUCCUGAGUUAUUUAUACUACCCAGCCUACGGGUCUUCCUCUGUUCUCAUCUUUUGUACUCCUUGGUUGGAUUUACCUGUGGCUUUCCUUUGUUUAAUUAAAGACUGUCAUUUUGCCCUCGCAUUUGAGUCCUCUCUCUUCAAUACUCAUCACAGGUACAGCACACGCAGUAGCAGGUGGAAUACUUCUGACUCUCUCACUCUUCUAUUUUCAACUAAACAUAUACCACAAACCUCUGUUUCCCCUUACUGGCCAAUAUGCACAAAAGAACACAACAAUGUCCUAAAUUAGAUUUGCUAAUGUUUUAUUUUUGUUUUUGUUUCAUGUUUAGAAAAAUAUGGAACAAAUUUUGCAAGCUCACAAUUUGUCUAGCUCAGUCCUGACAUGUAACAAUCACUUUUCCGGUUCCAAUUAAAUUCCCAAAAAAUAAAUUAGAACUUUUCCCCUUGCUGAAUAUUGUUUCAAUCUCUCUCUCUCCCUCUCUUUCUCUCUGUGGAAAUGUAUUUUAAGUUAUGCCACAAUAUAUGGACAAAUAAUUUUAGAAGAAACAUAUCAUGGGUUGCCCAAGACAAUAGAUAGUAAUUAUAUUAGUUCAUUAGUAAGUAAGUAAUUUUUCUCAUUGGAUAUUGUGUUUCUCUCUCUUUCUCCUUUCAGGAAAUGUACUUAGAAAGUUAUGCCACAAAUAAUUUUGAAAGAAACAUAUAAUGAGUUUC